GGUUAAGCGACUAAGCGUACACGGUGGAUGCCUAGGCAAUCAGAGGCGAUGAAGGACGUGCUAAUCUGCGAUAAGCGUCGGUAAGGUGAUAUGAACCGUUAUACCCGACGAUUUCCGAAUGGGGAAACCCAGUGCAAUUCGUUGCACUAUCGUUUGAUGAAUACAUAGUCAAACGAAGCGAACCGGGGGAACUGAAACAUCUCAGUACCCCGAGGAAAAGAAAUCAACCGAGAUUCCCCUAGUAGCGGCGAGCGAACGGGGAGCAG
rnacentral:rRNA from 1 species